AUUGAACGCUGGCGGCAGGCCUAACACAUGCAAGUCGAACGGUAACAGGAAGCAGCUUGCUGCUUUGCUGACGAGUGGCGGACGGGUGAGUAAUGUCUGGGAAACUGCCUGAUGGAGGGGGAUAACUACUGGAAACGGUAGCUAAUACCGCAUAACGUCGCAAGACCAAAGAGGGGGACCUUAGGGCCUCUUGCCAUCGGAUGUGCCCAGAUGGGAUUAGCUAGUAGGUGGGGUAACGGCUCACCUAGGCGACGAUCCCUAGCUGGUCUGAGAGGAUGACCAGCCACACUGGAACUGAGACACGGUCCAGACUCCUACGGGAGGCAGCAGUGGGGAAUAUUGCACAAUGGGCGCAAGCCUGAUGCAGCCAUGCCGCGUGUAUGAAGAAGGCCUUCGGGUUGUAAAGUACUUUCAGCGGGGAGGAAGGGAGUAAAGAUAAUACCUUUGCUCAUUGACGUUACCCGCAGAAGAAGCACCGGCUAACUCCGUG
rnacentral:rRNA from 1 species